rnacentral:rRNA from 1 species
UACGUAGGGUGCAAGCGUUGUCCGGAAUUAUUGGGCGUAAAGAGCUCGUAGGCGGUUUGUCGCGUCUGCUGUGAAAACCUGAGGCUCAACCUCGGGCUUGCAGUGGGUACGGGCAGACUAGAGUGCGGUAGGGGUGACUGGAAUUCCUGGUGUAGCGGUGGAAUGCGCAGAUAUCAGGAGGAACACCGAUGGCGAAGGCAGGUCACUGGGCCGCAACUGACGCUGAGGAGCGAAAGCAUGGGGAGCGAACAGG